GCAUAUCAUCUUUAUGGGAUCACUUUAUAGGCGAUUCCGGGGUUUCUCGCCGAAUUCUCGGAAUAGUUAAAACCCGAUGAGACUUUAGUGUAACCCUCUGAGGGGGGAAGGGGUCUCAACGUUGUGUUUGAGGAUUUGAUGACGUUCUGACUCGGUUUCCCGUGUGAGGGGAGGAUCACACAAGCUGAUGGU